AAGACUAUAGACCUGCGGAGUACCUGCGGAAGGAUCAUUAAAGAGAAAACUGCCCUUUGGGUAGAUCUCCCACCCUUUGUUUACCUUACCUUUGUUGCUUUGGCAGGCCCGUCUUCUGACCACCGGCUUUUAGCUGGUCCGUGCCUGCCAGAGGACCCCCAACUCUUGAUUUCAAGUUGUCCGAGUCUUAUAUAAUAGUAAAAACUUUCAACAAUGGAUCUCUAGAUCGGAAGAGCACAC
rnacentral:misc_RNA from 1 species